CAGUCAUGCUCGUAGGGAUUCAGCCGGUUCUGCCGGUGUAUUUCCCUACUUGCAGGCCAGCAUCAGUUUUGACCGGUGGAAAAGGUUGGAGGGAAUGUGGCAUCCUCGGAUGUGUUAUAGCCCUCUUUCGCAUACAUCGGUUGGGACUGAGGAACGCAGCACGCCUUUAUGGUCGGUCUUCGGGACACGUACGUGCUUAGGAUGCUGGCAUAAUGGCUUUAAGCGACCGUCUUGAAACACAGACCAAGGAGUCUAACAUAUAUG
rnacentral:rRNA from 1 species